rnacentral:misc_RNA from 1 species
GUACCCUCAAGCUUUGCUUGGUGUUGGGUGUUUGUCCUUUUCUUUGCAAUUGGACUCGCCCUAAAUUCAUUGGCAGCUACAGUAGUAGUGGAAAGCGCAGCACAAUUUGCGCCUUUUGCUGGUAUUAUGGGCGUCCAUUAAGCACAAUUAACAC